CCUCCCCGCUGCCGCACCGCCGCCCGUCAUCCACUCGUGACUCGUCCGCCCCUGGUAACCGCGCGCGCUGGCGUACGUUGCUGACUGACGGGCUCCCUGUUCUCCCGGCGCGGCGGGCGGCCUCCGUGUGGCUGGACUGGACCAGCGGCGCUGCGGGUGUGCGCGGACGGCGGCGCCAACCGCGUCUUCGACGGCGUGCCGGAGCUGCUCCCAGGCCAGGACAUCGGCGAGGUCCGUGCGAGGCAAACCACUGUUUGUUGGUUCCUCAAUUCUUCACCUAGCACUUCGGUUGGCAGUUUCAGUUGUCAAGACAGCGCCUCGGCCCUCGGUCACUCGGUGGCUCGCCGGCUCGCCGCCUCCCUCAAUCCUCAAUGGACUCCGGCAGCGGCAGCAACAAAAAGGGAAAAAGAAAAGCAAUAGGAUAUGGAAGAGAUCUGAAGAGCUACUUUAGCCAAGGGUCUAGCAGCACUCCAAGUACUCAUGGAAGUGGAGUUGGUCUUGAGGCAUUGGAGAGGGAGGAGGUGGUGCUGCAAACUCAAGUAGAGAGCACUGAUGCUGUAGCAGUACCAAUGCCAGUUGAAGAUGUUGAAGGUCAACCCGGUGGUGGUGUGAACUCAAGUAGAGAGAAAACUCAAGAUAAAGAUGCAAGUGAUCAAGAUGUUGUUCAUCCAUGGAAGAUUUUUUUGACUAUAUCAACAUGAUUGUGAACAGCACUAGUGCAUCUUGUAAGAGGAAGGAUUUGUUGCUUGAUAAUCAUCGUACACAGCUUUUGGGUAGGUUGGAGAGUGGAGAAAUUUCCUCUGGUAGAGGACAGCAUCAAGAAACAUCAUUGGCUAGGCCUGGAGAUACAAGAUGGGGAUCUCACUAUAAGACUUUGCUUCGUAUUGAAACAAUGUGGGAUUCAAUAAUAGAAGUUCUGUCAGUCAUACAUGAUGAUCAACGUAAUCCAUCAAGGGCAGGCGGUUUGGUGCAUACCAUGGAGUCUUUUAGCUUUGUCUUUAUCAUGAAGAUGAUGUUGCAAAUCCUUCGCAUAACAAGUGACCUAUCUUCUCUCUUGCAAAAGAAGGAUCAAAAUAUUGUUGAGGCUAUGUCUUUGGUCAUUGAUGUAAAAGCACGUUUGGUCAACUUGAGAAGUGAAGGUUAUGAGCCAUUACUUGAUGAAGCCAAAGAAUUUUGCUGUGAGAAUGAUAUCCCAAUACCAAAUAUGGAAGAUAAUGUACCAAGAUUUGGUCGAUCAAGAAAAGGAGGGAGAAACAAUAUCACUCAAGAUCAUUACUUCCGUGUUGAUACCUUCUAUGCUACAAUAGAUGCUAUUACAACAGAGUUUGAUCAUCGAUUCAAUGAGGUAUCUUCGGAAUUGCUUACUUGCUUUGCAUGUCUUGAUCCAAGGGAACCAUUUUUAAGUUUGAUGUGAAUAAGCUUGCUCGCCUCACGGAGAUAUAUUUAGAUGACUUCUCUUUUGAUGAUCGAAAAAAAAAUAAAAGAUCAAUUACAGACCUUUCUUAUCCAUGUAAGGAGAAUUGAGGAGUUCAGAGUUUGUCAAGAUUUUGCAAGCCUAGCACUAAAAAUGGUUGAGCUCAACAGACAUAUGAUGUUCCCAUUGGUUUAUCGCCUAAUUGAGUAGGCAUUGCUACUACCAGUAGCGACCGCAUCGGUUGAAAGGGCUUUUUCAGCCAUGAAGAUAAUUAAAACUGAGUUGCGGAACAAGAUGUCUGAUGGUUGGCUUAAUGACUUAAUGGUUGUGUAUAUUGAGAGGGAGAUAUUUAAAGGAAUUGAUCUUCAAUCUAUCAAAAAAGCAUUUCAAGUGAAGAAAGAUAGAAAUAUGAAAUUGCCGAAGCAUCCUAAACGCAUCCGGACUGAACGCAACUAAUAAAUUUAUCGCUUAUUUUGGUCCCGUUGUUGAUUUGAUGUGUAAUCUACAUGUUUUUCUUCAUUUAAGGUACUUCUAAA